UGGCCUCUACCAACCAUUGACGUCCCAUGGC
rnacentral:piRNA from 1 species